rnacentral:rRNA from 1 species
UAGGGAAUCUUCGGCAAUGGGGGGAACCCUGACCGAGCAACGCCGCGUGAGUGAAGAAGGUUUUCGGAUCGUAAAGCUCUGUUGUUAAGGAAGAACGAGUGUGAGAAUGGAAAGUUCAUACUGUGACGGUACUUAACCAGAAAGGGACGGCUAACUACGUGCCAGCAGCCGCGGUAAUACGUAGGUCCCGAGCGUUGUCCGGAUUUAUUGGGCGUAAAGCGAGCGCAGGCGGUUAGAUAAGUCUGAAGUUAAAGGCAGUGGCUCAACCAUUGUAGGCUUUGGAAACUGUUUAACUUGAGUGCAGAAGGGGAGAGUGGAAUUCCAUGUGUAGCGGUGAAAUGCGUAGAUAUAUGGAGGAACACCGGGGGCGAAAGCGGCUCUCUGGUCUGUAACUGACGCUGAGGCUCGAAAGCGUGGGGAGCGAACAGG